rnacentral:rRNA from 1 species
UUUCGACGGUAGGGUAUUGGCCUACCGUGGCAGUGACGGGUAACGGGGAAUUAGGGUUCGAUUCCGGAGAGGGAGCCUGAGAAACGGCUACCACAUCUAAGGAAGGCAGCAGGCGCGCAAAUUACCCAAUGAAAACAGUUUCGAGGUAGUGACGAGAAAUAACAAUACGGGGCAUUAUAUGCUUUGUAAUUGGAAUGAUGGGAAUGUAAAACCCUCUCAGAGUAACAAUUGGAGGGCAAGUCUGGUGCCAGCAGCCGCGGUAAUUCCAGCUCCAAUAGUGUAUAUUAGAGUUGUUGCAGUUAAAAAGCUCGUAGUUGGAUUUCUGCCGGGGUCGUCUGACGCCACUCUCCAGGGUGGUGCRAGGAUCGAUCCAGGCAUAUUUCCAGUAGCCCUUUGCGGUGCUUAAUUGCGCAGCGAGGGGUGUUCUGGAACUUUUACUUUGAGAAAAAUAGAGUGUUUCAAGCAGGCUUGUCGCCCUGAAUACUGCAGCAUGGAAUAAUAAGAUAGGACCUUGGUUCUAUUUUGUUGGCUUCUGGGACCGAGGUAAUGAUUAAUAGGGACAGUUGGGGGCAUUCGUAUUUAACUGUCAGAGGU